rnacentral:rRNA from 1 species
CUGCAUGGCUGUCGGUCAGGCUCGUGUCGUGAGAUGUCGGUUAAGUCCGCUAACGAGCGCAACCCUCGCUGUGUGUUACAAGUGUCACACGGAACUGCCGGUCAUAAACCGGAGGAAGGUGGGGAUGACGUCAAGUCAGCAUGGCCUUUAUAUCCUGGGCUACACACACGCUACAAUGGGAAGGGACAAUAGGUUGCGAAGCCGCGAGGCGGAGCCAAUCCAGCAAAACUUCCCUCAGUUCAGAUUGCAGGCUGCAACUCGCCUGCAUGAAGUUGGAGUUGCUAGUAAACGCAGGUCAGCCAUACUGCGUUGAAUACGUUCCCGGGGCUU